AAGUCGUAACAAGGUUUCCGUAGGUGAACCUGCGGAAGGAUCAUUAACACGUUAUCCAACGUUUCCAUUUAUCCACCUCUACCACGAACUGAUCUCCCCGUAGACGUUCUACCUCUUAGCUGUGGCGGGCCGGUUAGGAUGGGUGAAGCUUUUGCUUCACACUAUCGGCCUUCACUCGUCGUCUCUGAACGGCAAAGCUUAGAAACUGAAUGUCGGGCUUUAUUCUUUCAUUCCAUUUGAAUGGUUCCCAUCUAUCCCUUCAUGGAGUGAUCACACACGAGUUUAACAAUUGUUUACCCAAUUGACUAAUAUAUGAAUUCGAAUCAUCGAAAGAUGUAUUCGUGUCUAAGAUUUAUCUUAACUAAGCACAACUCUUAGCAAUGGAUAUCUUGGUUCUC
rnacentral:misc_RNA from 1 species